GACGAACGCUGGCGGCGUGCUUAACACAUGCCAGUCGAACGGAAAGACCCUGCUUUUGUGGGGUGCUCGAGUGGCGAACGGGUGAGUAACACGUGAGUAACCUGCCCUUGACUUUGGGAUAACUUCAGAAAACUGGGGCUAAUACCGGAUAGGAGCUCCUGCUGCAUGGUGGGGGUUGGAAAGUUUCGGCGGUUGGGGAUGGACUCGCGGCUUAUCAGCUUGUUGGUGGGGUAGUGGCUUACCAAGGCUUUGACGGGUAGCCGGCCUGAGAGGGUGACCGGCCACAUUGGGACUGAGAUACGGCCCAGACUCCUACGGGAGGCAGCAGUGGGGAAUAUUGCACAAUGGGCGGAAGCCUGAUGCAGCAACGCCGCGUGCGGGAUGACGGCCUUCGGGUUGUAAACCGCUUUCGCCUGUGACGAAGCGUGAGUGACGGUAAUGGGUAAAGAAGCACCGGCUAACUACGUG
rnacentral:rRNA from 1 species